rnacentral:rRNA from 1 species
AUUGAACGCUGGCGGCAUGCUUUACACAUGCAAGUCGAACGGUAACAGGCCGCAAGGUGCUGACGAGUGGCGAACGGGUGAGUAAUGCAUCGGAACAUACCCAGUCGUGGGGGAUAACGCAGCGAAAGCUGUGCUAAUACCGCAUACGAUCUAAGGAUGAAAGCGGGGGACCUUCGGGCCUCGCGCGAUUGGAGUGGCCGAUGUCAGAUUAGGUAGUUGGUGGGGUAAAGGCCCACCAAGCCGACGAUCUGUAGCUGGUCUGAGAGGACGACCAGCCACACUGGGACUGAGACACGGCCCAGACUCCUACGGGAGGCAGCAGUGGGGAAUUUUGGACAAUGGGCGCAAGCCUGAUCCAGCAAUGCCGCGUGCAGGAUGAAGGCCUUCGGGUUGUAAACUGCUUUUGUACGGAACGAAACGGUCUGGGUUAAUACCCUGGGCUAAUGACGGUACCGUAAGAAUAAGCACCGGCUAACUACGUGCCAGCCGCCGCAGUAA